rnacentral:rRNA from 1 species
CCUACGGGUGGCUGCAGUGGGGGAUUUUGCACAAUGCGGGGAACCCUGAUGCAGCGACGCCGCGUGGGUGAAGAAGCGCCUCGGCGCGUAAAGCCCUGUCAGCAGGGAAGAAAAUGACGGUAACUGACGAAGAAGCUCCGGCUAACUACGUGACAGCAGCCGCGGGAAUACGUAGGGGGCAAGCGUGAGCCGGAUUUACGGGGGGUAAAGGGGGCGCAGACGGCGAUGCAAGCCAGGAGUGAAAGCCCGGGGCCCAACCCCGGGACUGCUAUUGGAACUGCGUGGCUGGAGUGCAGGAGGGGUAGGCGGAAUUCCUGGUGUAGCGGUGAAAUGCGUAGAUAUCAGGAGGAACACCGUUGGCGAAGGCGGCCUGCUGGCUUGCAACUGACGUUGAGGUGCGAAAGCGUGGGGAGCAAACAGGAUUAGAUACCCUUGUAGUC